rnacentral:rRNA from 1 species
UACGUAGGGGGCAAGCGUUGUCCGGAAUUCUUGGGCGUAAAGAGCGUGUAGGCGGCCAGAUAAGUCCGCUGUGAAAUCUCGAGGCUCAACUUCGAGCUGUCGGUGGAAACUAUCUGGCUAGAGUCCGGAAGAGGAGAAUGGAAUUCCUGGUGUAGCGGUGAAAUGCGCAGAUAUCAGGAAGAACACCCGUGGCGAAAGCGGCUCUCUGGGACGGUACUGACGCUGAGACGCGAAAGCGUGGGGAGCAAACAGG